rnacentral:lncRNA from 1 species
GUGUGGAAGUGAAAUAAAAGGUUAAGGUUUACAUCCCUUACACAAUAACUUAAAAGUACUAAACAAACAUCACGGAAUGAAUUCUCUGAAAGAAACACGAGAAAUGAGAAAAGUAAAGGAAAAUAUAAAGUAUCUAGCAUCUACUCGCAAUCUUCUUGCGGAUCGAGCUCAAGAACCAGGUCCUCUUAAUUUGAAAUGGUUAAAUAAGGGGUGAGCUACACUAGCCCAAUAAGG